rnacentral:rRNA from 1 species
UAACUUAGUGGCGGACGGGUGAGUAACGCGUGAGUAACCUGCCUUUCAGAGGGGGAUAACGUCCUGAAAAGGACGCUAAUACCGCAUGAUAUAUUUGUGCCGCAUGGUAUGGAUAUCAAAGGAGCAAUCCGCUGGAAGAUGGACUCGCGUCCGAUUAGCUAGUUGGAGGGGUAACGGCCCACCAAGGCGACGAUCGGUAGCCGGACUGAGAGGUUGAACGGCCACAUUGGGACUGAGACACGGCCCAGACUCCUACGGGAGGCAGCAGUGGGGGAUAUUGCGCAAUGGGGGAAACCCUGACGCAGCAACGCCGCGUGAAGGAAGAAGGCUUUCGGAUUGUAAACUUCUUUUCUAAGGGACGAAGAAGUGACGGUACCUUAGGAAUAAGCUCCGGCUAACUACGUGCCAGCAGCCGCGGUAAUACGUAGGGAGCAAGCGUUGUCCGGAUUUACUGGGUGUAAAGGGUGCGUAGGCGGCAAUGCAAGUCAGAUGUGAAAUGCACGGGCUCAACCCGUGAGCUGCAUUUGAAACUGUGUUGCUUGAGUGAGGUAGAGGCAGGCGGAAUUCCCGGUGUAGCGGUGAAAUGCGUAGAGAUCGGGAGGAACACCAGUGGCGAAGGCGGC